CUUUCUAAUUAUAUCUUUUUAUACAAAAAGCUUUAUACAAGAAUUAGUUAUUUUCUACAAUUACAAAGAAGAUUCACUUAGUUUUAUAUGAAAUAUUAAAAUUUAUUUCUUGUAAUAUUUUACCUCAUUUUACCUUCAUUAUAUAUCCCUGUUGUUCGAAGAAAUUGCUCCGCAAUUUUACAUUCGAAUUUAUUUCUUUUAAAACUUGUUUAAAUUUUAAAAAACUUUUUUUUUAAAUAUUCUCUUAACUGGAUUUGACUAUUUGACUUUGUGGCUUAUGAUCAGUUUAUAUUAGAUGUUUUGGUUAUUCAAGUUGUUAUGACCAAGAUGACUUAUUGCGUUUUAGAUAUUCUUAUUCUUAUUUUUCUUAUUAAUAAAACAAUUUUAUUCUUUAAUAUUUUACAUUUUUCGAUCUCUUCAUCUUUAUAGUAAGAGCGUUGGUGGUUUUUUUUUUAUUAUCAUUAUUAUUAUCGUUUCUCUAUUUUCAUAUAUGUGGUAAGCCCGCUUUUCUUGGUAGUCUGCUCGAACUCCAAAUAUACCCGAGUCAUUUCCUCUCUCUGGAGUAUGCUCAUUUUCCUGGGUACUUUGCUCCGACUCCAGAACUACCGCAAGUCAUACCCUCAUUUUCUUUUAUAUUUCUUUAGUCGGAUUUGUUGUUUGUUUUACAAUGGAUAGUUUUCUAAAACAUUUGAUUACAGUUAAGAUUUUACAUUAUGGUUAAUGAUUUGCUUAUGCUAGAAUACAUUAUGUUUGCUAUAAUCAAGGUUUUACAUGAUGACUAGCUAGGUCAACACAUUUAGCACUUAAUUAGGU
rnacentral:lncRNA from 1 species